UCUGGUCUUAAGGCUCUAAGUUGGAACCAUUGUUUCAUACCUGAGCUAUUUGAUCUAGAUUAACACUCGGGGACCUUCCGUGCCGUUUGAUAUCCCGUGAUCUUUAGCAUUAUCUGGUUAUUAUACAAGAACUCCAAAGCAAUCUCAGGGAAUGAAUAUCCGUUGUGAGCUAUCGUGUAGGAUGACAUUGGGGACACUAGGGCGGACCUGUGCCUUAGAGAAUAAAAAUGAAGAUAGACUAGUUUAAUUUUGACUGAACUCUUUUUUUACUGUUUAAGACAAUAUAACACUCUUAUUUAUAAAUAAAAAUACAACUUUGUAUGC
rnacentral:lncRNA from 1 species